rnacentral:rRNA from 1 species
AUGAACGCUGGCGGCGUGCCUAAUACAUGCAAGUCGAGCGAACAGAUGAGGAGCUUGCUCCUCUGACGUUAGCGGCGGACGGGUGAGUAACACGUGGAUAACCUACCUAUAAGACUGGGAUAACUUCGGGAAACCGGAGCUAAUACCGGAUAAUAUAUUGAACCGCAUGGUUCAAUAGUGAAAGACGGUUUUGCUGUCACUUAUAGAUGGAUCCGCGCCGCAUUAGCUAGUUGGUAAGGUAACGGCUUACCAAGGCAACGAUGCGUAGCCGACCUGAGAGGGUGAUCGGCCACACUGGAACUGAGACACGGUCCAGACUCCUACGGGAGGCAGCAGUAGGGAAUCUUCCGCAAUGGGCGAAAGCCUGACAGAGCAACGCCGCGUGAGUGAUGAAGGUCUUCGGAUCGUAAAACUCUGUUAUUAGGGAAGAACAAAUGUGUAAGUAACUAUGCACGUCUUGACGGUACCUAAUCAGAAAGCCACGGCUAACUACGUG